rnacentral:lncRNA from 1 species
ACAGAUAUCCACUCCCUAUCCUAGUGAGUAUACCAUAUCUGGUCUCAUACAUGGUAUACAUAAUAGAGUAAAUUCUACUCAUAAACACUCUAUAUACGUAGACUGGGAUAAUCUAAGCAGCCUUUUAGAUCUAUCUCUAUAGAUCUUCAUCCUUAAAAUGAGGGAUACUUUUCUCAAGUUUUUUUUAGAGAAUAAUAAUAAUAUAAAAAUCUU